rnacentral:lncRNA from 1 species
GGGGUCACCACUACACCACAGAUGGGGUGGACAGCCUGCUACAGGGUGUCCUGGAAGCUCUGAAACGAUGUUUGUCCUUCACCAGUUUCUAUUCUAAAGGACAAAAGCAAAAGUGGAGCCCGCAUUCAUGAAGUGGCAGGAUUACUUACCCUAAAUGUGGUGCCAGUGGGGUAACUGGAAUAAAAAGCAAGGAAUCUUUAUCUCAUCAAGGAGAUAUCAUUAAUACCCUGAACCCUCAUCCAUCGGUCGGGGAGUCAUUCCUUAUAACAAAAAAUAAAAAAGAAAGUUGGGAAAAAAGCAUCUCAGCAAAAGCAGCGAACAUAUCUACCAUGUCUGACAGUAAUUACAGUGUUCUGCAUACUCUGUCAGUAGGGAGAGGAAGGCAUCUUCCAUCUUUCCACAUACUAUCCUGUGUGAAGACCAUCACUGCCUUUGUCAUACUCAAUCUAGGAGAAGGAAAAGACCCAGACAUGGAUAACUGUAGUACACAUACACGUAUCAUACUAUGCUCCAGCAGUAAUCUACUCUACAUAGCAUUCCUCACAAGUAAUCAUCCAGUCUCAUGGUAGAAGUUCUCAAGUAAUGGGCAAUCCUCUACCUGUCAUGGCAACCUAGGAAACAAAAACCAUAUUAACCAACUAGUAUUUAGUACAAUCGAACAUAAUGGAUUUCUCCAUUAGAGGCAAUGCAAUGUCCCGGAACAAUCUGCAGGGAUCUAGGAGAAAAAACACUAUCCACAAGCAGAGGACAAACUGUGGGAGUAAAAACACCGAGGAAAAGCAACUGUUUGACUACAGGGGUUGAGGGGAUAUGACUGAGGAGAGACUCUAAAUGAACACUCUAAUGCAAAUACCAACAACAUGGAAAUGGGUUCGAAUCAAGAACACAUGUGAUACCCAGUGGAAUCGCGCUCGUCGGCUAUGGGAUAGGUGGGGGGGAGGAAAAGAAAAUGAUCUUUGUCUCUAAUGAAUAAUGUUUGGAAAUGAUCAAAUAAAAUAUUGUUUAAAAAAAAGAAUUGGAGUCCU